AUACUUACCUGGCAGGGGCGAUUCUAUGGUCAAGAAGGUGGUUUCCCCAGGGUGAGGCUCGCCCAUUGCACUUCGGGCUUGCUGACACCUGCGAUUUCCCAAAGUGUUGGAAACUCGACUGCAUAAUUUAUGGUAGAUGGGGACUACGUGUGCGUUCUCCCUUG